AUGAACGCUGGCGGCGUGCCUAAUACAUGCAAGUCGAGCGAACAGACGAGGAGCUUGCUCCUCUGACGUUAGCGGCGGACGGGUGAGUAACACGUGGAUAACCUACCUAUAAGACUGGGAUAACUUCGGGAAACCGGAGCUAAUACCGGAUAAUAUAUUGAACCGCAUGGUUCAAUAGUGAAAGACGGUUUUGCUGUCACUUAUAGAUGGAUCCGCGCCGCAUUAGCUAGUUGGUAAGGUAACGGCUUACCAAGGCAACGAUGCGUAGCCGACCUGAGAGGGUGAUCGGCCACACUGGAACUGAGACACGGUCCAGACUCCUACGGGAGGCAGCAGUAGGGAAUCUUCCGCAAUGGGCGAAAGCCUGACGGAGCAACGCCGCGUGAGUGAUGAAGGUCUUCGGAUCGUAAAACUCUGUUAUUAGGGAAGAACAAAUGUGUAAGUAACUAUGCACGUCUUAACGGUACCUAAUCAGAAAGCCACGGCUAACUACGUG
rnacentral:rRNA from 1 species